rnacentral:lncRNA from 1 species
AUGGUGGUACCAGCACUGCUGGUAGGUACGGUGCUCUGUACACUUGCGGAUGCAAUAGUGGUCGUACCUUCUGUUGCAGGGGGAACAGACUUGGUCGUACUUCCAGAUGUGAUUGUGGUUGGACCUGUUGCCGGAGGGCUGGUGGUCUUCGUGACUACCGUGGUGCUUGUGGUGGUGCUCUUGGAAAACGAGGGGAAAGUAGAGACAGUAGUGGGUUUUUCUGUACGCUGGGUUUCUACAGUGGACAAUGUUGCUGGGAUGGUGCUAGCUGAUGAGAAUGUGGUGACAGUACUGGUGGGGGAGCUGGGCACUAAGGGUGUGGUGGUGACGAUGCUGGUUGUGCUCCCUGUUGUAAGAGGAGUGGUCUUGGUGGUGCUGGCACUGCUGGUAGGUGUGGUGGUCCCUGCACUUGUGGAUGCAAUGGUGGUUGUACUUCCUGUUGGAGGGGGUGAGGUGCUGGUGGUGCUGCCACUGCUGAGAGGUACGGUAGCUCCUGCACUUGUGGAUGCGAUGGUGGUCGUACCUUUUGUUGGAGUGGGAACAGACCUUGUUGUACUUCCAGCUGUGAUUGUGGUUGUGCCUGUUGCUGGAGGGCUGGCGGUCUUGGUGACUACUGUGGUGCUUGUGGUGGUGCUCUCGGAAGAUGUGGAGACAGUAGAGAGAGUAGUGGGUUUUGCUGUAGGCUGGGUUUCUACAGUGGACAAUGUUGAUGGAACGUGGCUAGUUGAGGAGAACUUGGUGAUAGUGUUGGUGGAGGAGCUGGGCAGUAAGGGUGUGGUGGUGACGAUGGUGGUUGUGCUCCCUGUUGCAGGAGGAGUGGUCUUGGUGGUGCUGGCGCUGCUGGUAGGUGUUGAUAUUGUUGGUAUUGCUGUUUUUUGUGGUUCUGUUCUUGUUGGUGUUGUUGGUUUAGUCUUUGUCUGUAUUGUAAUUGCUGUUGUUUCUGUAGUUGGAGAUGUAGUUUGUUCUGUUUGUCUUGGUGUUGUAGUUUUUAUUCCUGAACAUGAUUUAUAAUUACAGCAUAAUUCUCUGAUUUGGUAAUUGUAGCAUUUCUUGUCUUCUUGGUCUUCGGUAUUGCAUUUCAAUUCAGUGGUUUUAUUGCACUGUAUUGUUUGGUUAAGAUAGUUUAUUGUCUUAUCUGAUUGUUCAUGUACUCUGCAUUCAAUGCUUCUCGUGUUAUUACAAGAGCUUUUUCCUUUUCCUGUGAUAUAUUGAAAUGUUUCCUCUUCAUUUUCAAGCUGUGUCCCAUCAUACCAUUCUGACCACUCACAUACAUACUUCACACAUACAGUUUUUGCUGAUGUGGUUUCUGUAAUUCAAAGGAAGAAACGUAAGUUUUGUUUUCUACUACUAAGGAAAAUGUCAUAAAAAAAUUAUUCACCUUCCAUGAAUUUAUUGCCAUAUAUAAUAUUUGUAUCUUAAUAUAGCAUUUUAAUGAACUUGCUUCAAGAGUCUUGAGUUUCACUUUUAGUAUAGGUUUUCAUUUCAUCUUUGUAUUCCUU